AGCUCCAAUAGCGUAUAUUAAAGUUGUUGUGGUUAAAAAGCUCGUAGUUGGAUCUCGGCGGUCUGUGGGCGGUUUGCUUGGUUGCGAGAUACUGCUCUUUAGGCGGUGGUUUUGCCAGAAGUUUCGGGGUGCUCUUAACCGAGUGUCCUGCGAUGCUGGCAGGUUUACUUUGAAAAAAUUAGAGUGCUCAAAGCAGGCUUUUACGCCUGAAUAUUCGUGCAUGGAAUAAUAGAAUAGGAAGUCGUUUCUAUUUUGUUGGUUUUCGGAAAUCGACUUAAUGAUUAAUAGGGACAGUCGGGGGCAUUUGUAUUCAAACGACAGAGGUGAAAUUCUUGGACCGUUUGAAGACAAACUACUGCGAAAGCAUUUGCCAAGAAUGUUUUCA
rnacentral:rRNA from 1 species